AUGUGUGUGUGUGGGGGGACCAGUUACAGUGACCCCCUAGAGGGACCCCCCCAUUCUGGUCAUCUCUGGACUUCCCAAAGGGGGGGGUCUAGUGGCAGCAUAGGGGAAAGAGGAAGCGAGUUGGGGUCUCCACCCCCAACUUCUAAUGUGAGCAGUGUGCUCAGGUGUUGGGGGCCCCGGGACAGAGGCAUGGAGACACCCGACGGCUUGACGGGUCCAGAGUGCACCAGGUGCAGGCUGCAGGGAGGUGAGUGUGGGCAGGGGCGCAGCACCCGAGCACCGAGCACCCGUGUCCGGGCGCAGGGCUGCAGAGAACACGCCCCCCCAGUUGGACGGGAGGGCGGGCUGGAGGCGGAGGCUCCCCCGCGGGCUGAGCCGGCGGCCAGGCUGACUUCACAGGCGCCCUUCCUCCCCCUUCCUCCUCCCAGCGCAGCUGCGGGCCCGGGGACCAGGGUGCGACCUCAGCCCCGCCGCACGCCAGCUGGCACGCAGCCCCGCCGGCACCGGAGCCCCGACAGCGCAGCGGCUCCAUCACCCCGAGCCCCACCUCCCGCGACGGGGCCCUGGAACCUGAUGCCCAAGACUCUGGAUGUUGCCUCACUCUCCAUUGGGUCCUCCAGCCAAGGUCCCCACCCUUGCCCUUUCCCAGUCCCCCCCCCCAACUUCCUAAAGCCCCUCCCCUGCCUGCCUGCAAGUCACCUGACUGGGCACCCGAGCCGCCCCACCCAGAUUCCUCACCCAGCUUGCCCAGCUCCCAAAGUGCUUGAGGAGCCGGGCUCCUUGACAGCUCCAGGGCAGUCCCUGGGCUGCACAGCCCGCCUGGUCCCAGCCACACACUCCAGCUGCCACUCGGGCAUGGUGCUUACGGAGACGUGCACAUGCACGCGUGCGCACGCACACACACAUGUGCACAUGCACACGAUGCACACAGUGCACGCACACAGGUGCAGCGCGCACGAGAGAGUAAAUAUGCAUAUGCACGUGCACAAUUGCAUGUGCACAAUCACGUGUGCAUGCGCACACACACGCGUGCGUGCACUCCUGCACCGUUCCGUGGGUGCUGAGCCGGUGAUCCUCCCUCACAGGCCGCCGCGGUGCUCCUUUGGCCCUCCCUCCAGUACCUGCCUGGAGACCUGCACUCGUUGGCUCCCCCCGGCUCUCCCCCACCUGUCAGGACGGGGUUACCUGCCUGCUUCCAAGAACUGGCACCUGAGGCUUCCGUCCAUUGUCUACGGCCAAGAUCAAAACCAAACCAAACCAGUCCCCUGCUCCUGUCUGAAAUUGGUGAAUGGUUGGCGGGGAGGGGGACAUCCCCACCCGUGA
rnacentral:lncRNA from 1 species